rnacentral:rRNA from 1 species
UACGAAGGGGGCUAGCGUUGCUCGGAAUCACUGGGCGUAAAGGGCGCGUAGGCGGCCGAUCAAGUCAGGGGUGAAAGCCUGUGGCUCAACCACAGAAUUGCCUUUGAUACUGUUUGGCUAGAGACCGGAAGAGGUUAGUGGAACUGCGAGUGUAGAGGUGAAAUUCGUAGAUAUUCGCAAGAACACCAGUGGCGAAGGCGGCUAACUGGUCCGGUUCUGACGCUGAGGCGCGAAAGCGUGGGGAGCAAACGGG